rnacentral:miRNA from 1 species
UGGAGAAGCAGGGCACUUGCCUGGAUCGGCUCGCCCAGGAGAGGGCGCCCGAGGGGGCGGAGCGGCCAAGCCAACAGGCAGGCCUGAGGGCUUGCCCCGGGCCCAUCACCAUCACCACCAGCAGCAGCAGCGU